UUUCAGUUUGUGCUUGUGAUCAGAUGAACACACCGGCCUUUUCCCUGGAACUUGACGUAAACACCUGAACUGUGUUCCAAACAUCGCUAACGGUAUAACGUAAGCAGAGGGAUGGUCUGUGGAAAAUAAAAUGUAUCUUUGCGAGCGAUGAGCUUAUAUAUUGAAGUAUUCAGUGACAUUUAUGCAGCUCUGUUUGUACUUUGUUCCCCAAAGUAUUUUUCUAAAAACAUUCCAUGUGGGUAGAAUGAGUUAGUGCACACCUGAGGAUUGUCUGCAUCCCAAACCAACCCUUAAGUGCGAUCUUGGAUGUUUCUAAAAAUUUGUUUUAGCAUAGCUGAAACCUUUAAUGGAUUGAAAAAUAUCGAUCGUAUGAAAAGAUAUUCCUGUGCAUCGAAUAAAAUGGUCU
rnacentral:misc_RNA from 1 species